rnacentral:rRNA from 1 species
AUUGAACGCUGGCGGCAUGCCUUACACAUGCAAGUCGAACGGCAGCAUGGAGAGCUUGCUCUCUGAUGGCGAGUGGUGAACGGGUGAGUAAUGCAUCGGAACGUACCGUGUAAUGGGGGAUAACGUAGCGAAAGUUACGCUAAUACCGCAUACGACCUGAGGGUGAAAGCAGGGGAUCGCAAGACCUUGCGUUAUACGAGCGGCCGAUGUCAGAUUAGCUAGUUGGUGAGGUAAAGGCUCACCAAGGCGAUGAUCUGUAGCGGGUCUGAGAGGAUGAUCCGCCACACUGGGACUGAGACACGGCCCAGACUCCUACGGGAGGCAGCAGUGGGGAAUUUUGGACAAUGGGGGCAACCCUGAUCCAGCCAUGCCGCGUGAGUGAAGAAGGCCUUCGGGUUGUAAAGCUCUUUCGGCCGGGAAGAAAUCGCACAGGCUAAUACUCUGUGUGGAUGACGGUACCGGCAUAAGAAGCACCGGCUAACUACGUGCCAGCCGCCGCAGUAA